AGUCCCGAGGUGUUUACACAUCAAAAUGCAAGUUUGAAGUAGGACACUAAGGUGUCCCGGGGCUUU
rnacentral:tRNA from 1 species